rnacentral:rRNA from 1 species
CGAGACUGUUCUCUUUGAGGUCGGUUAUCGGAAUGGAAAAAAUCCAGACACUUUAUUGAGUAUCUACGAGUGGGCCAGUCUGGUGCCAGCAGCCGCGGUAAUUCCAGCACUCGUAAGGUAUAGAAGUAUUGCUGCGUUUAAAAAGUUCGUAGUUGGAUUGUAUGGUGAGUGCGGGUCCGGCUUAACGGUCGGUACUCGUUGCUUGCUUUUUGUUCGUAUUCGUUCGGUUGGCUUCGGCUGGCUGCGCGGUGCGGAUGAGAUUACUUUGAACGGCUUAAGUGCUCUAAGCGAGGCUUAUGUCUGAAUACCGAUGCAUGGAAUAAUGGAACAAGGCUUCGGUCGAGUUUUUUUGGUUUUGGCGGCUAAGGCAAUGGUUAACAGGAACAGCCGGGGGCAUACGUAUCGCGGCGCGAGAGGUGAAAUUCGUGGACCGUCGCGAGACGAACUAAAGCGAAAGCAUUUGCCAAGAGUGUUUUCAUUAAUCAAGAACGAAAGUCAGAGGUUCGAAGGCGAUUAGAUACCGCCCUAGUUUUGACCGUAAACGAUGCCAACUACCGAUCCGUUUGUGGAUUUAUUCAUGAGCGGGGAGGCCUCCGGAAACGAAAGUUUUUCGGCUACGGGGGAAGUAUGGUUGCAAAGCUGAAACUUAAAGGAAUUGACGGAAGGGCACCACCAGGAGUGGAGCUUGCGGCUUAAUUUGACUCAACACGGGAAACCUCACCCGGCCAGUACGUCGUAAGGAUUGACAGUCUGAUAGCGCUUUCAUGAUUCGGUUAAUGGUGGUGCAUGGCCGUUCUUAGUUCGUGGAUUGAUUUGUCUGCUUAAUUGCGAUAACGAGCGAGAC